rnacentral:rRNA from 1 species
UCAAGCUGUAAAGGGCGCAAGGGGAAUGCCUUGGCACUGAGAGCCGACGAAGGACGCGACAAGCUGCGAUAAGCUACGGGGAGCCGCAAAUGGGCUUUGAUCCGUGGAUUUCCGAAUGGGGAAACCCGAUGGAGCAAUACUCCAUCAACCAUGACUGAAUACAUAGGUCAUGGUGGGGAACCGCCUGAACUGAAACAUCUAAGUAGGGCGAGGAAGAGAAAUCAACCGAGAUUCCGCUAGUAGUGGCGAGCGAACGCGGAAGAGGCCAAACCGGAGGUAGCAAUAUUUCCGGGGUUAGGACUGCAAUAUGUAACUUUAAUCUUUAACUGAAUGCUUUGGGAAGAGCAGCAAUAUAGGGUGAUAGCCCCGUAAGUGAAAAGGAUUGAGUGCUAGCAGUAUCCAGAGUACCAGCGGACACGUGAAACCCGCUGGGAAGAUGGGGGGACCAUCCUCCAAGCCUAAAUACUACUCAGUGACCGAUAGUGGAGCAGUACCGUGAGGGAAAGGUGAAAAGUACCCCGGGAGGGGAGUGAAAAAGAACCUGAAACCUUGUGCCUACAAGCACCGAGAGUCCGUUAAAGGAUGAUCGGGUACUUUUUGUAGAACGGUCCGGCGAGUUAAUAUUUGCAGCGAGGUUAAGGAACUGGAGUUCCGGAGCCGCAGCGAGAGCGAGUCUGAAAAGGGCGUAUGAAGUUGCAGGUAUUAGACCCGAAACCGGGUGACCUAUCCAUGAGCAGGCUGAAGCGGUGGUAAGACACCGUGGAGGGCCGCACCCACGUCUGUUGAAAAAGCCGGGGAUGACUUGUGGAUAGCGGAGAAAUUCCAAUCGAACUCGGAGAUAGCUGGUUCUCCUCGAAAUAGCUUUAGGGCUAGCCUUGUUUAGUAGCAUGUGGAGGUAAAGCACUGAAUAUGUGAGGGUUCUUACCAGAAUACCGAUCAUUAUCAAACUCUGAAUGCCAUGUGUGUAAGAACAGGAGUCAGACAGUGACAGCUAAGUGCCAUUGUCAAAAGGGAAAGAGCCCAGACCAACAGCUAAGGUCCCAAAAUUGUAGUUAAGUGGAAAAGGAUGUGGGAAUUCAUAGACAACCAGGAUGUUGGCUCAGAAGCAGCCAUUCAUUUAAAGAGUGCGUAAAAGCUCACUGGUCGAAGUAGGCCUGCGCCGAAAAUUACCGGGGCUAAACUACAUACCGAAGCUUUGGAUUUGGUACGUAAAGUAUUAAGUGGUAGAGGAGCGUUGUAUAAAGGUUGAAGCUAUACUGAAAAGAGUAGUGGACGAUAUACAAGAGAGAAUGCCGGAAUAAGUAGCGAGAGCACAGUGAGAAUCUGUGCCGCCGAAAACCUAAGGUUUCCUGGGGAAGGUUCGUCCGCCCAGGGUAAGUCGGGACCUAAGACGAGGCUAAAGCAGCGUAGUCGAUGGAAAGCAGGUAAAAGAUUCCUGCACUACCGAAAUGCGAUAUACAAUAUAUCAUGACGCAUCAGAGGAGUCUAAGCGAGCAAAUGGAAAAGUUCGUACCGCAAGGUGGAGUGAAAAAAUAGUAGCGAAGUAGACAAAUCAGGUGACAAGAAAAGUGAUAUAGGAGCAUAGAGGUACUCGUACCGUAAACCGACACAGGUGGGAAGAAAGAGAAUUUUCAGGCGAACGAGAGAAUCAUUGUUAAGGAACUCGGCAAAUUAACCCCGUAACUUCGGAAGAAGGGGUGCCUGCAGCGAUGCAGGCCGCAGAGAAAUGGCCCAACCGACUGUUUAUCAAAAACACAGCACUCUGCAAAGACGCAAGUCGAAGUAUAGGGUGUGACACGUGACCAAUGCCGAAAGAUUAAGGCAAGGGGUUAGCCGCAAGGCGAAGCUCUAAACCCAAGUCCCGGUGAAUGUCGGCCGUAACUAUAACGGUCCUAAGGUAGCGAAAUUCCUUGUCGGGUAAGUUCCG